GGGCUCUUAGCUCAGUUGGUUCAGAGCACUUGGUUUACACCCAAGGGGUCAUAGGUUCGAAUCCUAUAGAGCCCA
rnacentral:tRNA from 1 species